AGAGUUUGAUCAUGGCUCAGGAUGAACGCUGGCGGCGUGCCUAACACAUGCAAGUCGAACGAAGCUUGGGGAACGGAGAUUCGUCGAAGAGAACCAAGACUUAGUGGUGGACGGGUGAGUAAUGUAUGAGCAACCUGCCUUUCAGAGGGGGGACAACAGUUGGAAACGACUGCUAAUACCGCGUAACGUAUGACGGGGGCAUCCCUGACAUACCAAAGGAGCAAUCCGCUGAAAGAUGGGCUCAUAUCUGAUUAGCUUGUUGGCGGGGUAACGGCCCACCAAGGCGACGAUCAGUAGCCGGACUGAGAGGUUGAACGGCCACAUUGGGACUGAGAUACGGCCCAGACUCCUACGGGAGGCAGCAGUGGGGAAUAUUGGGCAAUGGGCGAAAGCCUGAACCCCAGCAACGCCGCGUGAAGGAAGAAGGUCUUCGGAUUGUAAACUUCUUUUAUGAGGGACGAAGGACGUGACGGUACCUCAUGAAUAAGCCACGGCUAACUACGUGCCAGCAGCCGC
rnacentral:rRNA from 1 species